rnacentral:rRNA from 1 species
AUUGAACGCUGGCGGCAGGCCUAACACAUGCAAGUCGAACGGUAACAGGAAGAAGCUUGCUUCUUUGCUGACGAGUGGCGGACGGGUGAGUAAUGUCUGGGAAACUGCCUGAUGGAGGGGGAUAACUACUGGAAACGGUAGCUAAUACCGCAUAACGUCGCAAGACCAAAGAGGGGGACCUUCGGGCCUCUUGCCAUCGGAUGUGCCCAGAUGGGAUUAGCUAGUAGGUGGGGUAACGGCUCACCUAGGCGACGAUCCCUAGCUGGUCUGAGAGGAUGACCAGCCACACUGGAACUGAGACACGGUCCAGACUCCUACGGGAGACAGCAGUGGGGAAUAUUGCACAAUGGGCGCAAGCCUGAUGCAGCCAUGCCGCGUGUAUGAAGAAGGCCUUCGGGUUGUAAAGUACUUUCAGCGGGGAGGAAGGGAGUAAAGUUAAUACCUUUACUCAUUGACGUUACCCGCAGAAGAAGCACCGGCUAACUCCGUG